GUAUUUUUGAGAGAGAUAAGCGUUGACAAGGGAAGUAGCGUGAGAUCUCCCAGAAGAGGAAGAAGACACCCAUUGGGGCCUGUAAGAGGCUAACUUUGACCACUGGUUUCUCAAAUUUCGCUGAGCCGCCGGUCUCCAUAGCCGCGAAACUGACGGUGGCAGUGUGGGGGGGAGCCGUAGUAAGAGGAAGUAGCAGAGGAAGAGGUUUGCUCUGGGGUUUCCAUUGCUGGAGUUUAGGUCUCGAAGAGUUCUUUACUGC
rnacentral:misc_RNA from 1 species